ACGUACACUCCUACGGGAGGCAGCAGUGGGGAAUAUUGGACAAUGGGCGCAAGCCUGAUCCAGCCAUGCCGCGUGAGUGAUGAAGGCCCUAGGGUUGUAAAGCUCUUUCACCGGUGAAGAUAAUGACGGUAACCGGAGAAGAAGCCCCGGCUAACUUCGUGCCAGCAGCCGCGGUAAUACGAAGGGGGCUAGCGUUGUUCGGAUUUACUGGGCGUAAAGCGCACGUAGGCGGACUAUUAAGUCAGGGGUGAAAUCCCGGGGCUCAACCCCGGAACUGCCUUUGAUACUGGUAGUCUUGAGUUCGAGAGAGGUGAGUGGAAUUCCGAGUGUAGAGGUGAAAUUCGUAGAUAUUCGGAGGAACACAAGUGGCGAAGGCGGCUCACUGGCUCGAUACUGACGCUGAGGUGCGAAAGCGUGGGGAGCAAACAGGAUUAGAAACCCCGGUAGUCCCAUG
rnacentral:rRNA from 1 species